GACGAACGCUGGCGGCGUGCUUAACACAUGCAAGUCGAACGUGAUUUUUAUGGAAUAGCCUUCGGGAUAGGAAAUAGAAUGAAAGUGGCGAACGGGUGAGUAACACGUGAGCAACCUACCUUACACAGGGGGAUAGCCGUUGGAAACGACGAUUAAUACCGCAUGAGACCACAGAACCGCAUGGUAAAGGGGUCAAAGAUUUAUCGGUGUAAGAUGGGCUCGCGUCUGAUUAGCUAGUUGGAAGGGUAAAGGCCUACCAAGGCGACGAUCAGUAGCCGGUCUGAGAGGAUGAACGGCCACAUUGGAACUGAGACACGGUCCAAACUCCUACGGGAGGCAGCAGUGGGGAAUAUUGCACAAUGGGGGAAACCCUGAUGCAGCGACGCCGCGUGAGCGAAGAAGGUUUUCGAAUCGUAAAGCUCUGUCCUAUGAGAAGAUAAUGACGGUAUCAUAGGAGGAAGCCCCGGCUAAAUACGUGCCAGCAGCCGCGGUAAUACGUAUGGGGGCGAGCGUUGUCCGGAAUUAUUGGGCGUAAAGGGUACGUAGGCAGUCUAUUAAGUCAGGUGUGAAAGCGUGAGGCUUAACCUCAUUAAGCACUUGAAACUGAUAGACUUGAGUGAAGGAGAGGAAAGUGGAAUU
rnacentral:rRNA from 1 species